GGCUGGUUAGCUCAGUCAUUUGAGUGUGGCGCUAACAACGCCAAGGUCGCAGGUUCGAUUCCCGUUCGGACCC
rfam:Apaloderma vittatum contig36163, whole genome shotgun sequence.